rnacentral:lncRNA from 1 species
GCCGCAGGAGAUAGCUGCAUUAAAGGUUAUGAAACUAACCAACAGACAUGCGGAUGACCAACAAAGACCAUCAUGACUAUUGAUGAGACAACUGGGCAUCUCAGAGGAUGGCAGCACAGGACAUGUCAGAGCUGAGAGAGCUUGAGAGUCUGCUUAUGAAAUUCUUCACUAAAAUGUUUCUAUCUCAUCAUUUGAUCCAGUAAUCCCACCUCUAGGAAUCUAUCCCAAAGAUACACUGGCAGAUACACAAAAAUGGACAGACCAAGGACCAGCCCCAGUAGAAAUGGGCAUCUCUAAAGCCCCCUACUGUGGUCUCCAAAUACUAUUACCCACUAAAAGGAACCAGGAAUUGGUGAAGAAAUGGUUGAUUUUAGGUCUAUGGCAUGGAAUGUUCAAAAUGAGUUUGCAACAUCCUCUCAUGUCAGAAAACAAAGAUGCUGUUCAAGAGCCCUAAAAACAUGCCCAGAAGAAUCAGGAGCCAGCCUGAAGAGGCUCCUUCUGGCAAAAUAAAG